ACUUUAAGUAAGAUCAAUAAUUUAAUCAAUAAAUAUUGAGGUUUUAAGACUACUCAAGGAAUUAGUUUGAAUUGGUGAGAUUUUUAAUUAGGAUUUUUUUAAGAAUUAAUUAGGAUUUAAUUUAGGAUUUAGAGUCUAAUUAGAAUUGAUUUAGGAUUUAGGAUUUAGGAUUUAAUUAAGGUUUCUUUAAAGUUUAGGAUUUCUUAAGAAUUUUUUAAAAACUUGUUUAGGUUUUUUGUAAAUU
rnacentral:lncRNA from 1 species